UUAAGGUUAGCAAUAUUAUGGUAUGGUGGAUUCAUAUAUCAUCACAAGUGUAUAUAAUCUCCAGCUAAAUGCCAAAGAUAAAAGGGGAAAAUAUACAUUAAAAAAGAAAAAGAAAAGGAAAGUUAAAUUUUUUAUUAAGGUAAGGGUAUAUUAUUGGAGCAAGAAACAGUGAAUAAGUGAGUGAGGUGGCGAAAACAGAAACUAAGAAGCAAGGAAAAGAAAAGAAAGAAAAAGAAAAGAAAAGUAAAGCAAAAAAGAAGAACCGAACACCACCACGCAUUGAACUUCUCAAGAAAGUGAAGAACUGAAUCAAUCAAUCUUUGUUCUUAGGGUGGUAUCAUCCUUCGUUUUCCACAUGGCUCGCCUUCUUCUCUUUCUCAUCAUUCUCAGCCUCGUCGCGUUAUCAUUCCUCUCAGAGGUACAAUCAGCAUCGUUCAAGAUCGUGAACAAGUGCCGCCACACCAUAUGGCCGGGAUUACUCUCCGGCGCCAGCUCGCCGCCGCUUCCGACCACCGGAUUCACCCUCAAGAGCGGAAAGUCAAAGACCAUAACCAUCCCCAAGUCUUGGUCGGGCCGGAUAUGGGCUCGGACCCUCUGCGCUCAAGGCUCCGACGGAAAGUUCUCCUGCGCCACCGCCGACUGCGGCUCCGGCAAAGUCGAGUGCGUCGGCGGCGCGAAGCCGCCGGCGACACUGGCGGAGUUCACCCUGAACGGCGCCGACGGGUUGGACUUCUACGACGUGAGUCUGGUGGACGGUUACAACCUUCCGAUGCUGAUCGUGGCGAAGGGAGGGACGAGGGGCGGGUGCAGCGCCACCGGGUGCCUGGUGGACCUGAACGGCGGGUGUCCGGCGGAGCUGAGGGUGGCGCGUGGAAACGGGAGCCGCGGGGGCGUGGCUUGCCGGAGCGCGUGCGAGGCUUUCGGGGACCCCCGCUUUUGCUGCAGCGAGGCGUACUCGACGCCUGACACGUGUGGUCCUUCUGUUUAUUCUCUGUUUUUCAAGCACGCGUGCCCACGCGCCUACAGCUACGCGUACGAUGACAAGACCAGCACCUACACAUGUGCAUCUGCUAACUAUUUAAUCAUUUUCUGCCCCUUGCCAUAUACCAGGUACAAUUACUCUUUCCCCAUCACCCAUCCUUCUUUCUUUUAUUAUGCACCAGUUAAUAAAUGUAUAAAGUUUGGGUAAUUCCGUCUUUUUAUUUGAGCGCAUCAUUGGCAUGGAAUACAAGAUUUUUUUGGAGUGCAUAGACAUGUUCUUACAAGUUUAUGUACAAGUACUUUAUCCGUAUCUUCUCUCUUCUCUUUUGUUUAGCUGUCCAUUUUAGAUACAUAAUUACUGCAUGUUAUUUUAUGUGGACUAUAGUUAGGUGCUAUUGUUUGAUUUUGGGCUAUGAAAGGGGAGGCUUUUAUGUGAAAUAAUUUGAUGUCCAGGGAAAUAUAAUUAAUUGAUUACCAUGUGCCAAUAAUUGGACUUAUAUUGUUCGUUUCUGAUGAAUAAUUGUAGUGAUGUUGAAACUUGAAAUAAGUCAAAUAAACAUGCCACGAGUAGAUUUGUUUGUAUAGAACAUAGAAGUAUUCAUUAUUCAAAAAAUAGUACUUCUUUUUUAGGUAAGGCAAAAUAAUACAUUUUUAUUAUUUUUCCAAUCACUCAUUUGCUCUUUUGGGUUAUGGAACAGAUCCUGAUUACACGAGCUUGAAUUAUAAUUUUGGGAAUCCUUUUUCACCGUUUUUAUCUUUUCACAAUUUUAACAAGUUUAGAAGAAAAAUCUUUAUCUGACGAGACCUGCAGAAAAUGGGGAUCCCUGGAUUAGUUUAAGACUCCUACUAUGUUGCCAAAAAGUGUUGGGAGCACGUAAAGAUGGGGCACAACUUCCUCUGGUAAAUAAAACUAUGAUGUACUUAUCAAGGCUACAAGCAAGUGGUUCUUCAACAUCAGGUAGAUAAUAGAUAGUUACUCCAAAAAUAGCUGCUUCUAUCAAUUCGAUGCUGUGCUGAUUCUACUCAUCAUGCAGGACUUGAAGAAUAAUAUCAUAUAGGAAACACUGUAAAUCCUUUUUCUUUUUUGUUUAUGUAGUCUCUUUUUUCACACAUUAAUACGUCAACAUUGCAAUAGUUGAUCUCUGGCCAUCCUUCAGUUCUUAUUUCAUUAACAGAGGCAUUACCAAUUUGCCAAGUAUUCUGGAGUCAAGAUUUUGCUAGCUACGACAGACAUACUGUAAUAAGUGCAAUAGUGUGUACAUGAAAUAGGUUAAUGGAGUGAUACUUGGUGCACAAUUUUUGGUUUUGAUAUGCUCA